UAUAGUGAAAUGUAAAUACUCCUUUAAUAUUUAUAACAAUUCCUGUGAUUAUUCAUUGCAUUUUUGGAUGAAACUUACGUUUAACUCUGUAGAAGCAGCAUUCUCUAAUGGAGAACUAUCCCAUGGGGAAAUUUCUAGAGAGCUCAACUGAUUAUGGAAUAUUGAGCUGUAGUAAUUAAUUUCCUUGUCUUUCCCCUCAUUUGUCCUUUAGAUGUAGGAAUUCAAAGCUAAUUCAGCCACCACUUUCUUGGUGGUUCCAGUGAAUACAGCUGUUGCUGGUUUGGACAGCUGUGGAGGGGACUAAUAGCUGAAUGAUGAUCUUCUGUAUGAGCUGGUUUUAUGUUCCUUUGAAGCUAUAUUAAAAGACAAUAGUAGAACUUCAAUAAUUUCCUCGCAAGCCCAACUAAUGAUCAUCAAAGAAGUAAAGAUGCCCCAAGAAACAAGACUCGUUGUCCUAUGUCUGCUUAAUGAGAAAUCGUAAUCCAUCUGGUUAUAAAACCUCAGCAGAAUACCAUACAAUGUAUCUCUUGGCUAAACAUAUGUUGUUGUUCAACUUUUAAGAAGAGCUAAAGAUCAAGGAAUUAGCAUGAAAAAUGUUCUAAAUUACGUCAUGACUGAAGAUUUUGCAAAUUUUCUCCCCUCUGAAGUUUACAAAAUGAUGUUUGCUAUUGUCACUUUGGAUUCUGCUGAAAUUGCAGGAUAUGUUUUGCACCAUUGCUGCUGCAGAGAAGAGCUCUGGAAGAGCUGUGCCAUGGCAGAUGUCUGAAGGAGAGAUUCCAUAUGGUUAGCUGUUGAUCAGUUUGGCUGCUGGACUGACGGAAGCAUGACAGGCCAUUCUCAAGUUCUUGCAUGAUGUGGCUGUUCUCCAGAGGCCCUCUGGCUGCCUCUGGAUGUGACACCAGCUUUAACUGAAGAAGCCCAACACUUUAGCAAAAAUGUGAGCCUCAGCUGGAAACUUGGCAAGAGAGUUCAAAACUGCUUCUUAAGCUAAGGCUGAGGUGAUUGUUAAACAAAAAGUAGCCUAACAGACAUUUUUUCAUGACUUUUUAUCUUGCAGAGGCUGGCAGAAAGAUUGCAGAAAGAGGAUAGCCUAGGAAGUUGAACUCAAAGCCAAUUUGAAGUCUAAAAUAAUUUGAUGUAUAUAUGGAAUGCAUAUAUAUGCCCAUGCAUAUUUAUAUGUCUGUUGAUGCUUAGCAUUUAAAUUUUUUUUUGGAGGAGGGUUUAUGACAUAGAACCUUUUAAUAGAAAGUGUUUAAUCAUGAAGUUAUAGAGCACUUCUCUAUGGCUUACAUUUUCAGAGAGACUUUAGGCUGGCACCACUAUGCCAGUCUCCAAAUUUUGUGGGACAAAAUGGCCAAAGGCUGCAGGUGCACUUUGGGUGUCUGCAUAUCUAAACACUGCCUGCAGAAACAGAUGUGUCCUCAUUUUUCUCAAUUGCCUUUAAUCACACCAUCUGAUCCUGUUCCCUACUGUGUAAGGUAUUGGGCUGGUCUCCCACUGUAGUGUAUGACCCAGUUUUUGGGAGUUCUGGUCAAACACUACCCAGAGCUCCUGUUUGGAACUGACUUGUGGGGAAUCCUCUCACUUCAUUGGCACAACCUCCAAAUGAUUUUUGAAUAGUUUUAUUUUGGCAAAGGAUGAUCAUUUAGGUCUUCCUUUACAUGAAAUGUUGGCAGCAGAGAGGCAUCCAGUGUGGGCUGUCGUCUGGAAAGAAUCUGGGUCCAAGCUAACGAAUUCUAGUAAUGUAUUAGGAAGUUUGAGUUUUCCUAUGAAAUUAAGCUUGAGUUUUCUUAUGAAGUUCUUUAUUGUUGUUUAAAUAUUUAUUUCUUGCGUGUGUUGCAGCACUGCUCUGAAUUGUAGCUAUACAAUAGUAUGAAAGUGCUGUUAGAAAAAACAGAUUUUUUGUUCUUGGCUUGCAUAAAGACAGCUCAUCUUGGAAAUGUAGUUUGACAGAUAGUUCUGAGUUAAACUACAUACAUGACAAAAGCUGGCCUCUUUUGGACAAAUUUGAUCUAUCAAACAUCUAACAAUGUUCUUUGGUUAUUAAACCUAAAGACUGCAUGCUAUUUGAAUUCCAAUUGGAUAGUAGAAAGAACAGCCAAUAUUUUUUCUAAAACUUCUUUCUUAUUUUCAUUUGUAUGUUUUUGUUAAGAAAAAACCCAAAGCUCACUAAACAAACAAGCAAAGAAAAACCCCAAAAUUAACAAAAGAUGAAUGCAGGCAAACAAUUGUAAUUUUAUUCAAAUAGGCAUGAGAAGACAUCCAAAGGGUGAAGACACUAUAUUUUAAUUUACUGAACAACUUUUUUCAAAUUUGAAACAGCUUUCCACCAAAAAAAGUUUUUUCUGUGUUUAUUAUUGGUGCAUUAUAUAAUAAAUAAGUUUUUAAACCCUUAUCCUCUCUGCAGUGUAUUAAAUUAAUACAGCAUGGGACAGGAAAGUAGUUUCACAGAGCAAUAAAAGACCUCUUCAUUUCUUGCACUGACUUUUUUUUCCUGACAGUUUGGAUUUUAGAAUAUUUUAAAAUUUUUUCUUUCCCACUAGUCAAGAGAAGAAAAAUUUGAAAUGGUGCCAAGAAACCCAUUGCAAAACCACUUGCUUUUAUUAUUUUUUUUCUCUUGUAUUUGGCUCAUGGAGAGCUGAAACAGUUAAUGGUGCCGAAAAAAUUCCAGAUACCUUCAGAUGAAAAAUUUGCAUUUUAUUUUACCACUUUAAAUGGAAUUGGACUUUUAGCUUUAUUACUUCAGAAAAAAAUGGUCUGCAUGAAAAUAGUUUGUGAGUUUGUGUGAUCUUGAUCAUUGUGUAGCAAUGCAUUUUUAUGUAAUCCUUCUUUCAGUCAGUUAUUUUAAUUUUCACUGGAGUUCUGUUGUGGUUCUGACAGCUUCCUCUUUCUGGCUGUCUAGAUAACUGCUUGUCUGUUUUUCUGUGACUGCUUGUUAUACACUCAACACCAUGGUACCAGGAGUAUAUCCUAAACACUCCUUUUUGCCAGCAACUGUCACAGACUAGACAAGCAUGUGGAGAGCUUUGAGCUUUUAGCCGGUGAUAUGGAAUAUUUUGAUGUAUUGCUGAUCAAAAGAGAAAAAAAAAAAGUGUUUCUAUUUACAGAAGAUUGUCUACAGUUUAUAUUUAUGUAGGUAAAGCUACUGGUGAGAAACCAUUAGGAAGAUGUUACCUGCUUGACAUGAAUAGCAAGACAUUUGCAACCUUGUCCAGCCUCUCAGCAUGAGAUUUGCUAAAGCAAAUAACAUCUUUCAGAGAAGAGGCAGAGCAUACUCCCAAUCAAAAGUGUCAGAAUGUUAGGUAUUAGGCUUAGGAAAAGGGGAAAUGUAGCUAUUCUGCCCCUUGUGCAAAGUUGGCUAUGAAAAAGUACCAUAGUCUGUAUGUCAGUAUGAAAAAGUACCAUAAUUUCAUUCUCUUGGCCUUGUCUCCCCAUGCCUAUUCAAUCAAAUUCAUCAGUUCAAAGCAGUGAGACUGUGCUGAUGAGUUCUGUCAGCAGCUCUUGCAACCAGUUUUGGUUACCAGCACUUCCACAGCUUACCAUACCUUUGUAACAUAUAACCAGCCCAGAGAACAGAGGAAAAGAUGCAAGACAUGACAGUCACCAUGUUUGAAUUAAAACAGGAUGAGGUUCUGAAAAAAUCCCUGGGUUCAUCUGGCAGGUUCUGUGUUUAUUAAACUCUUUGCAAUGUAAGUUAAAUGUACAACUGCAAUGGUAAAUUGCAGAGUCCGGCAAAAUAUUAAAGAAAAAAUAAAAAGUAAAAGAAGGCAGGGAAAGAAAAGGUUGUAAGUGUUCAUGAUUUGGAUAAUGAUAUGCCUGUCCUGCAUAUGGCAGUUUAAAAAACAUUCAUUUCUAGCAAUUCAGAAAGCAUUCUGGCUAAGUGGUCUGCUUCUUUCUGUGUAUUCAUGUAGAUAGGAGUCUAGUUUCUGUAGAUUAGCUCAUCUUUCUCUUUCCAGUAGCAAUUAAAUAUUUAUGUAUCAUAGUGUAGCAAUUGAAUUCAUUUUGUCAUGUAUUGGUGAAUAUAUUGCAGAUCUCUUCCCUUUUCUUUUAAUCAAAAAGUUUAUUAAAUAAGUCCUUUGUGAAAAUAUAAACAGGUUUUUUUUUCUUUCUCUGUAUUUUCAAUCAAGCUCUAUUUUUCCUCUGGGCAUUGGUUUCUCAGCCCUUAGUGGGACUCUAAUUUUCCUUGUUAAAGUACAUUGUUGCCAAGAAGAGAAACAUUGCUUUUCUUGAUAUGCUUCUAUUUAGUGCUGUAUACAACUCUGUGAAGCUAAAUUAUUCUCAUCUUUCGUUUUUCUCUGAUUGUUACUUGUUUGUUUAUAUUUUUUGGUUUUUUUUUUUUACAUUUCACUUUAUUAUUUAUAUAUAAAUGCAAAAUAUAAACACACAUAUAAAGUUUAUGUGUGAAUUAUCUAUGUAAUCUAUAGACUUUUGUAAAUAAAUGAUUCACAAAAUAAUGAUGUCCUUUUACUUCAUUUUUAUUAUUUUUAUUAUUACUAUAUUUGAUUGUUUAAUUGAGUAACAUUCCCCUAAACUAUUCUGGAAUUUUGUCUCAAAGGGAAUAGAUUUUGUCAAGGGGCAAAAUCAUGAUAUGCCUUUUGCUCUGCAUAUUGUGUUUAUUGUUACUUCCAUUGGUAUGCUGGUGCCCUGAAUUAGCUCUCUUCUCUUGGGCUGUAAGCCAAAGCCUUCUCCACCUGAGGAAAUUCAUAGAUAGGGAAUUGCACUGUGUUCUGUCACUUUCUUUUCUUUACUUGGGCCUACCUGCUCUGAAAUCCUGACUUAUUUAUUGGAUCUGGGACUGCAGCUGGGACUCUCAGACAAUAAUGUAACCACCAUGCUUUGGAAUAAUUCUCUCUCUUCCUCACCUAAUUAAUGAUUCAUAUUUUUGCAAAUUUUAAAUCCUAACAGAUAUCUGCUUUUAUCAGCCUCCUUGUUGAAAGGUAAAGGUUGAUAUUACCAAAACCGUCUUUAUCUCUGGUUUUAGUUCUGUUCAAAUGAAAACUGUUAUGAUUCAAAAUAUAUCUCUCACAUAGGAAAUGUAGAAAAUCCUUUGGGCUAAGCAUUUUAUUAAAAACAAUGAAAAUUAUCCUUAGAGAGUUUAAAGGAUAACAAGUUGUCUUUACAGUGUCUUUUAUCCUGGAGGUUGCCUCUAACAUCUGGCUGUUACUGGGCGAAGAGGAGUUUUUCUGAUUUGAUGUGUAUGAGCUACAUGACACAUAAUGCUUCUCGGAUAUUUUAAUUAAAGCAUUGAUUUUGUC